rnacentral:rRNA from 1 species
CAGCAGCCGCGGUAAUACAGAGGGUGCGAGCGUUAAUCGGAUUUACUGGGCGUAAAGCGUGCGUAGGCGGCUUCUUAAGUCAGAUGUGAAAUCCCUGAGCUUAACUUAGGAAUUGCAUUCGAUACUGGGAAGCUAGAGUAUGGGAGAGGAUGGUAGAAUUCCAGGUGUAGCGGUGAAAUGCGUAGAGAUCUGGAGGAAUACCGAUGGCGAAGGCAGCCAUCUGGCCUAAUACUGACGCUGAGGUACGAAAGCAUGGGGAGCAAACAGGAUUAGAUACCCCAGUAGUCCCUGUCUCUUAUAC